GCAUUGAUGAUGUAACGGUAACAUCGGGUCUUCCCAUCCUCUACGGAUCUGCUUGGCCCGUCCCCGGGUUCGACUCCCGGUCAAUGCA